rnacentral:rRNA from 1 species
AGUGAAGAAUAUUGGGCAAUGGGCGAAAGCCUGACCCAGCAACGCCGCGUGAGGGAAGAAGGUUCUCGGAUUGUAAACCUCUGUCCCAUGGGACGAAGAAAGUGACGGUACCAUGGGAGGAAGCCCCGGCUAACUACGUGCCAGCAGCCGCGGUAAUACGUAGGGGGCGAGCGUUGUCCGGAAUUAUUGGGCGUAAAGGGUGCGUAGGCGGCCUUUCAAGUUGGAUGUGAAAUCCCCGUGCUUAACAUGGGAAUUGCAUUCAAAACUGGAGGGCUUGAGUGUGGAAGAGGUAAGUGGAAUUCCCAGUGUAGCGGUGAAAUGCGUAGAGAUUGGGAGGAACACCAGUGGCGAAGGCGACUUACUGGGCCACAACUGACGCUGAUGCACGAAAGCGUGGGGAGCAAACAGGAUUAGAUACCCUGGUAGUCCACGCCGUAAACGAUGGAUACUAGGUGUAGGGGGUAACACCCCCCCUGUGCCGCAGCAAACGCAAUAAGUAUCCCGCCUGGGGAGUACGGUCGCAAGAUUGAAACUCAAAGGAAUUGACGGGGGCCCGCACAAGCAGCGGAGCAUGUGGUUUAAUUCGAAGCAACGCGAAGAACCUUACCAAGGCUUGACAUCCCCUGACGGUCGUGGAAACACGGCUUCCCUUCGGGGCAGGGAGACAGGUGGUGCAUGGUUGUCGUCAGCUCGUGUCGUGAGAUGUUGGGUUAAGUCCCGCAACGAGCGCAACCCUUACACUCAGUUACCAGCGGGUAAAGCCGGGGACUCUGGGUGGACUGCCGGGGACAACUCGGAGGAAGGUGGGGAUGACGUCAAAUCAUCAUGCCCCUUAUGUCUUGGGCUACACACGUGCUACAAUGGCCGCAACAAAGAGCAGCGAGAGGGUAACCUGGAGCGAAACUCACAAAAGCGGUCCCAGUUCGGAUUGUGGGCUGCAACCCGCCCACAUGAAGUCGGAGUUGCUAGUAAUCGCGGAUCAGCAUGCCGCGGUGAAUGCGUUCCCGGGCCUUGUACACACCGCCCGUCACACCAUGGGAGUUGGGAGCGCCCGAAGCCGGUGACUCAACCGCAAGGAGAGAGCCGUCGAAGGCGAGAUCAAUGACUGGGGUG